rnacentral:rRNA from 1 species
UGAAUACGAGACGCUAAGGCGUCGAAGUAGUGUAUGUCAUACUUCCAAGAAAAGCUUGCACUGUCAUAGAUAAAAAACGCCUGUACCAUAACCGACACAGGUGGGUAGGUAGAGUAUACUAAGGGGCGCGAGAUAACUCUCUCUAAGGAACUCGGCAAAAUAACUCCGUAACUUCGGGAGAAGGAGUGCCUUAUUCGUAAGGUUGCAAUAACAAGAUCCAAGCAACUGUUUAUCAAAAACACAGGUCUCCGCUAAGUCGUAAGACGAUGUAUGGGGGCUGACGCCUGCCCAGUGCCAGAAGGUUAAAGAAGUUGGUUAGCAAUUGCGAAGCUGAUAACUGAAGCCCUGGUGAACGGCGGCCGUAACGAUAACGGUCCUAAGGUAGCGAAAUUCCUUGUCGGGUAAGUUCCGACCCGCACGAAAGGCGUAAUGAUUUGGAUACUGUCUCGGAGAGGGGCUCGGUGAAAUAGACUUGUCUGUGAAGAUGCGGACUACCUGCACCAGGACAGAAAGACCCUAUGAAGCUUUACUGUAACUUGAAAUUGAAAUUGGACUUUAUUCGCGCAGUAUAGGGGAGGCGUUGAUUAUAAUCUUGUGGGAUUAUUGGAGCCAUCAGUGAGAUACCACUCUUGUAAUGUUAGAUUUCUAACUUUGAAUCAUUAUCUGGUCAAAGAACAGUUUCAGGCGGGCAGUUUGACUGGGGCGGUCGCCUCCUAAACGGUAACGGAGGCGUACAAAGGUUUCCUCUGAACGGUUAGAAAUCGUAUCUAGAGUGUAAAGGCAUAAGGAAGCUUGACUGUGAGACCUACAAGUCGAGCAGGGACGAAAGUCGGUCUUAGUGAUCUGACGGUACUGAGUGGAAAGGCCGUCACUCAACGGAUAAAAGUUACUCUAAGGAUAACAGGCUGAUCUCCCCCAAGAGUUCACAUCGACGGGGAGGUUUGGCACCUCGAUGUCGGCUCAUCGCAUCCUGGGGCGGUAGCACGUCCCAAGGGUUGGGCUGUUCGCCCAUGAAAGCGGUACGCGAGCUGGGUUCAGAACGUCGUGAGACAGUUCGGUCCAUAUCCGGUGUAGGCGUUAGAAUAUUGAGAGGAGCCUUCUUUAGUACGAGAGGACCGAGAAGGACAUACCUCUGGUGUACCAGUUAUCGUGCCAACGGUAAACGCUGGGUAGCUAUGUAUGGAGUGGAUAACCGCUGAAAGCAUCUAAGUGGGAAGCCCACCUCAAGAUAAGUAUUCUCAUC